rnacentral:rRNA from 1 species
CGGAGGAAAAGAAACCAACCGGGAUUGCCUUAGUAACGGCGAGUGAAGCGGCAAAAGCUCAAAUUUGAAAUCUGGUACCUUCGGUGCCCGAGUUGUAAUUUGGAGAGGGCAACUUUGGGGCCGUUCCUUGUCUAUGUUCCUUGGAACAGGACGUCAUAGAGGGUGAGAAUCCCGUGUGGCGAGGAGUGCGGUUCUUUGUAAAGUGCCUUCGAAGAGUCGAGUUGUUUGGGAAUGCAGCUCUAAGUGGGUGGUAAAUUCCAUCUAAAGCUAAAUAUUGGCGAGAGACCGAUAGCGAACAAGUACAGUGAUGGAAAGAUGAAAAGAACUUUGAAAAGAGAGUGAAAAAGUACGUGAAAUUGUUGAAAGGGAAGGGCAUUUGAUCAGACAUGGUGUUUUGUGCCCUCUGCUCCUUGUGGGUAGGGGAAUCUCGCAUUUCACUGGGCCAGCAUCAGUUUUGGUGGCAGGAUAAAUCCAUAGGAAUGUAGCUUGCCUCGGUAAGUAUUAUAGCCUGUGGGAAUACUGCCAGCUGGGACUGAGGACUGCGACGUAAGUCAAGGAUGC